UGGCCGCUGCAGCCGAGCACCAAUAUGCUCGCGAAGCUGGUGGUGGUAACUUGCCUUGGCGUCGCAACUACCCGUCCCAAAAUGCGAGAUGGCCAGGAGCUGGUCCUGCAUACUGGUGGUGCAGCAGAAUUAAUGCGGAGUCCACUAAACGCUUCGUGUACCACCAUCACCAUAACGGACAGUACUACCACUCCUCCAGACGUCGUGAAGGAUCUACUCGCAAAAUCAGCGUUGGACCAGUGGCAAGUGAUGGCAACAUUUGAGGUGAAUUUAGAGAAGAGAAACACCACCAUUACUGAUCGCCUGUCGAAGUUGAUCCCCUUAGCACGUCAGGU